GUUGGUAAGGUAACGGCUUACCAAGGCUAUGAUGUUUAGGGGUCCUGAGAGGGUGGUCCCCCACACUGGUACUGAGACACGGACCAGACUCCUACGGGAGGCAGCAGUGAGGAAUAUUGGUCAAUGGGCGCAAGCCUGAACCAGCCAUCCCGCGUGCAGGAAGACGGCCCUAUGGGUUGUAAACUGCUUUUCCAGGGAGAGAAACUUACGCACGUGUUGCGUGACUGACGGUACCCUGGGAAUAAGCAUCGGCUAACUCCGUGCCAGCAGCCGCGGUAAUACGGAGGAUGCAAGCGUUAUCCGGAUUCAUUGGGUUUAAAGGGUGCGUAGGCGGGCUAUUAAGUCAGUGGUGAAAUCCUGCAGCUUAACUGCAGAACUGCCGUUGAUACUGAUAGUCUUGAGUUUGGUUAAGGUAGGCGGAAUGUGUAAUGUAGCGGUGAAAUGCUUAGAUAUCACACAGAACACCAAUUGCGUAGGCAGCUUACUGAGCCGACACCGACGCUGAGGCACGAAAGCGUGGGGAUCAAACAGGAUUAGAUACCCUGGUAGUCCACGCCGUAAACGAUGAUUACUCGCUGUUGGCGAUACACUGUCAGCGGCUAAGCA
rnacentral:rRNA from 1 species